rnacentral:rRNA from 1 species
UGUGCGUUCGACCCAUGGAGUGACGGAGAAAGUUAAGACAGCAACGUGUUGAAUCGUUGUCCAAGUUCGUAGGCUGUUCGGGAAUAAAACACCGGAUAAAGCUGAAAAGCGACGGGACCUUGAAGCUACGGCUGAUGGGGAUUGUCUGAUACUCGGCUUCCAAGAAAAACUUCGUGGUUAGCAAAUAGGGUGCCCGUACCGUAAACCGACACAGGUGGGAAAGAUGAGUAUUCUAAGGCGCGCAGGUUAAAUCUCUCUAAGGAACUCGGCAAAUUAGCCCCGUAUCUUCGGUAGAAGGGGUACCGCGCAAGCGGUCGCAGUUAAUUGCGUCAACCGACUGUUUAGCAAAAACACAGCACUCUGCUAAGUCGCAAGACGACGUAUAGGGUGUGACACGUGACCAAUGCGGAAAGGUGAAAGCGUGAGGUGCAAGCUUCGCGUCUAAGCCCCCGUGAAUGUCGGCCGUAACUAUAACGGUCCUAAGGUAGCGAAAUUCCUUGUCGGGUAAGUUCCGACCCGCACGAAUCGUGUAACGAGUUGACGACUGUCUCGGAGAGAUGCCUGGUGAAAUUGUAGUGGCGGUGAAGAUGCCGCCUACCCGCAGCAGGACGGAAAGACCCUAUGCACCUUUACUGUAAGCUGUUAUUGUCGCUUGAUUUUUAAUACGUAGAAUAGGUGGGAGACUUUGAAGCUUGGUUCCAGGAUCAGGCUGAGUCACAACGUGAAAUACCACUUUUUAAUUGUUAGGCGUCUAACCACAUACCAUCAACUGGUUGUGGACAUUGAUAGCAGGUCAGUUUUUCUGGGGCGGAAUCCUCCCAAAGAGUAACGGAGGAUUACGAAGGUUCCCUCGGCCCGGUCGGUAAUCGGGCUAUAGAGCGCAUGAGUAUAAGGGAGCCUUACUGUGAGACCUACAAGUCGAGCAGUUGCGAAAGCAGGUUCAAGUGAUCCGGUGGUUGAAUGUGGAAUCGCCAUCGCUCAUAGGACAAAAGGUACGCUAGGGAUAACAGGCUGAUCGCGCCCAAGCGUUCACAGCGACGGCGCGGUUUGGCACCUCGAUGUCGACUCAUCACAUCCUGGGGCUGGAGAAGGUCCCAAGGGUUCGGCUGUUCGCCGAUUAAAGUGGUACGCGAGUUGGGUUCAGAACGUCGUGAGACAGUUCGGUCCUCUAUCCGCUGUGGGCGUUUGUGAUUUGAGGGGUUCAUUCUCUAGUACGAGAGGACCGAGAAUGACGAACCUCUGGUGUUCCGGUUGUCACGUCAGUGGCAGCGCCGGGUAGCUAUGUUCGGAAGGGAUAAGCGCU